CAGUCGCCACGGUAACACGUAGGGUGCAAGCGUUAAUCGGAAUUACUGGGCGUAAAGCGUGCGCAGGCGGUUAUAUAAGACAGAUGUGAAAUCCCCGGGCUCAACCUGGGAACUGCAUUUGUGACUGUAUAGCUAGAGUACGGCAGAGGGGGAUGGAAUUCCGCGUGUAGCAGUGAAAUGCGUAGAUAUGCGGAGGAACACCGAUGGCGAAGGCAAUCCCCUGGGCCUGUACUGACGCUCAUGCACGAAAGCGUGGGGAGCAAACAGGAUUAGAUACCCCAGUAGUCCCUGUCUCUUAUAC
rnacentral:rRNA from 1 species